rnacentral:lncRNA from 1 species
UUUUCCUGAAGCUUCGUGUAGUUCUAUUGCGUCCUGCCGCGAGUCUGGACGGGAGUCACCGGGAGUACUGUGGCUUGCCGGAAAUCUUCGCCGGUAAAAUAGUCACCUGUCCAACAAAACAGAACACACCCACACACACCCACAAAAAAGCAGAGUAGAGAAUAGAAAGAAAAGAGCAGGAGUUGCCGGAAAUAAUCAAGAAUAAUGAUUCAAAUGUUCAAAUAUUAAAAAACAGCCAAAGCAAUAAAUCAGUU